AGGUGUGUCCUGUUGUAUUUU
rnacentral:snRNA from 1 species